rnacentral:rRNA from 1 species
AACGUAGGGGGCGAGCGUUGUCCGGCUUUACUGGGCGGAAAGGGCGUGUAGGCGGCUUAGCAAGUCAGAUGUGGAAGCCCCAAGCUCAACUUGGGGAUGCCAUCUGAUACUGCUAAGCUAGAGGACAGGAGAGGAGAGCGGAACUUCCGGUGUAGCGGUGAAAUGCGUAGAUAUCGGAAGGAACGCCGGUGGCGAAGGCGGCUCUCUGGACUGGUCCUGACGCUGAGGCGCGAAAGCUAGGGGAGCAAACAGG